rnacentral:tRNA from 1 species
ACUGAGGCUGGUAGCAACGGACCUCGCUUCACACGCGAGAGGUCGCUGGUUCGAAACCAGCCGCGCCCA